rnacentral:rRNA from 1 species
UACGAAGGGGGCUAGCGUUGCUCGGAAUCACUGGGCGUAAAGCGCACGUAGGCGGCGCGGUAAGUCGGGUGUGAAAUUUCGAGGCUUAACUUCGAAACUGCAUUCGAUACUGCCGUGCUCGAGGACUGGAGAGGAGACUGGAAUUUACGGUGUAGCGGUGAAAUGCGUAGAUAUCGUAAGGAAGACCAGUGGCGAAGGCGGGUCUCUGGACAGUUCCUGACGCUGAGGCACGAAGGCCAGGGGAGCAAACGGG